rnacentral:tRNA from 1 species
AAAAUUUAGUUAAAUUUAUAACAUUAGUUUGUCAAACUAAAAUUAUUUAAAUUAAAUAAUUUUUAA